GAGUUUGAUCAUGGCUCAGGAUAAACGCUAGCGGCAGGCCUAAUACAUGCAAGUCGAGGGGUAAGGUUCCUUCGGGAAUACACGACCGGCGCACGGGUGCGUAACGCGUAUGCAACCUACCUGUAGCAGGGGGAUAGGCUGUGGAAACAUAGAUUAAUACCCCAUAAAGUUAUCAGAUUACCUGAUCAGAUAACCAAAACGAUAUAGUGGCUACAGAUGGGCAUGCGUCUGAUUAGCUAGUUGGUAAGUUAACAGCAUACCAAGGCGACGAUCAGUAGCGGUUCUGAGAGGAUGAUCCGCCACACUGGGACUGAGACACGGCCCAGACUCCUACGGGAGGCAGCAGUAGGGAAUAUUGGUCAAUGGGGGGAACCCUGAACCAGCCAUGCCGCGUGCAGGAAGAAAGCCUUACGGGUUUUAAACUGCUUUUUACAGGGAAGAAAUUUUCCGAUGCGUUGGAGGAUUGCCGGUACCUGUAGAAUAAGCACCGGCUAACUCCGUGCCAGCAGCCGCGGUAAUACGGAGGGUGCAAGCGUUGUCCGGA
rnacentral:rRNA from 1 species